GGAAAACAAGGUUGAAACGAUGCCGAAGUGAAAGCAGAAUAUCAGCGUGUGUAAACAAAAAGGUAAGAGUUUUAUUAUGUUAUAAAGUCCACUAGGCCUGUCCUUUCAUAUGAUCCAGUUAAAACCUCCCAAAUAGUUGCUAAUGAGGGUAACUUUUUCGAUUGAUUGUGUUGUGCACAAAUAUGAACGUUUAGUUUUUAGACGUAUUCCACAUUGACACUUUGACAGUUUAAUUAACCUAUGAAAUGCUUAGCUCUAUAAAAUCCAG